rnacentral:rRNA from 1 species
GACGUAGGGCGCGAGCGUUGUCCGGAUUUAUUGGGCGUAAAGAGCUCGUAGGCGGCUUGUCGCGUCGACUGUGAAAUCCCGCGGCUCAACCGCGGGCCUGCAGCCGAUACGGGCAGGCUAGAGUUCGGUAGGGGAGACUGGAAUUCCCGGUGUAGCGGUGAAAUGCGCAGAUAUCAGGAGGAACACCGGUGGCGAAGGCGGGUCGCUGGGCCGAUACUGACGCUGAGGAGCGAAAGCGUGGGGAGCGAACAGG